CAGAGACUGACAUACCGACAGCACAAUGAUCAUGUUUGUGACUCUACUGCUGACCACCCUGGGGCUCCUUGUUCAGGCUUCAUCAGGAGACAUCAUCCUGACUCAGUCUGCUGGAUUUCAGUCUGCUGUUCCAGGACAGACUGUCUCCAUCACAUGUAAAUCCAGUAGGCUGAUAGGUGAUGACAUAAACUGGUACCUUCAGAAACCUGGAGAAGCUCCCAAACUCCUGAUUGCUGAUACUACAGCACGGCAGUCUGGAGUUCCAGAACGUUUCAGAGCAAAUGCUCAUCAGACUGACUUCAUUCUGACCAUCAGUGGAGUUCAGACUGAAGAUGCAGGAGUUUAUUACUGUCAGCAGCAUAACAGCUUCCCGUUCACACAGUGA